UACGUAGGGUGCAAGCGUUGUCCGGAAUUAUUGGGCGUAAAGAGCUCGUAGGCGGUUCGUCACGUCGGCUGUGAAAACCUGAGGCUCAACCUCAGGCCUGCAGUCGAUACGGGCGGACUUGAGUACUGCAGGGGAGACUGGAAUUCCUGGUGUAGCGGUGAAAUGCGCAGAUAUCAGGAGGAACACCGGUGGCGAAGGCGGGUCUCUGGGCAGUAACUGACACUGAGAAGCGAAAGCGUGGGGAGCGAACAGG
rnacentral:rRNA from 1 species